UGCAGUCGAGCGGAAACGACUUAACUGAACCUUCGGGGAACGUUAAGGGCGUCGAGCGGCGGACGGGUGAGUAAUGCCUGGGAAUAUGCCUUAGUGUGGGGGAUAACUAUUGGAAACGAUAGCUAAUACCGCAUAAUGUCUUCGGACCAAAGAGGGGGACCUUCGGGCCUCUCGCGCUAAGAUUAGCCCAGGUGAGAUUAGCUAGUUGGUGAGGUAAGAGCUCACCAAGGCGACGAUCUCUAGCUGGUCUGAGAGGAUGAUCAGCCACACUGGAACUGAGACACGGUCCAGACUCCUACGGGAGGCAGCAGUGGGGAAUAUUGCACAAUGGGCGAAAGCCUGAUGCAGCCAUGCCGCGUGUAUGAAGAAGGCCUUCGGGUUGUAAAGUACUUUCAGUAGGGAGGAAGGUGUUGUAGUUAAUAGCUGCAGCAUUUGACGUUACCUACAGAAGAAGCACCGGCUAACUCCGUGCCAGCAGCCGCGGUAAUACGGAGGGUGCGAGCGUUAAUCGGAAUUACUGGGCGUAAAGCGCAUGCAGGUGGUUCAUUAAGUCAGAUGUGAAAGCCCGGGGCUCAACCUCGGAACCGCAUUUGAAACUGGUGAACUAGAGUGCUGUAGAGGGGGGUAGAAUUUCAGGUGUAGCG
rnacentral:rRNA from 1 species